UUUGCCAUCUUCGUGAACUUUUGACGCAAGCGAGCAUGAAUAUUUUAAAAUUUCAAAACUUUGAAAAUGAACUAAAAAUGAGUUUAUUUUCUUUGUCUUUCUCUGUUUAUUGCAAAUAAAACGUUAUCCACUCUGUGGCAUUUUGUUGUUCAUGCCUUAUGACAACAAUUUUAGCCGCCAUUUUGGAGAAUAUUUUAGUUAUUUGUGUUAAACUUGGAAAUGUUAACGUGAAAAAAACUGAACCAAACGAAGAAAAAGUAGAAGCAAUACAUUCUGUGCUUGAUCUCAUAAGAUAAAUCGUAUUUCACCACCUACCUAUGCUGUCAAAACGACAACAAUGAAUUGAGAAGAAGAUUUAAAAGCUUUGGAAUCUUCAAUCAAAACCAUUAAAGAAGUCAUUAUGAACAAGAAAGCCAAAGUAUGUAACAGAUAUGGACGAAGCAGACUUUGCAAAGGAACUGGAAAAACUUGAACAUCAAAAUGCAGAAGUUGAUGGCGAUGAUGAUAAUCCUGAUGAUGAAGAAGAACAAGAUGAAGCAUAAAUGAUUGUGGUUUGUUUUAAAACAUUUUCAGAGAGAAUGAUAGAUUGGCUGACAAGUGCUCAUUUAAUAACAAAGAAGUUAAACUUUAACCUCUAUUCAAACACCAUUCGGACAUCAAUUUUUUUUUGUGACUAUUCAAAAUAAUAUUUCACGCCCAUGUUCAAUGUGUUGUGUGGAAAUUUUCAUAGGUUUGCUUAAGUUAAAAUGAAGUCUAUAAGAGAAAUUAAAAUUGACAGUAGUUUGAACCUCUAUGAUUGAGUAUAUCUUACUUGUGUAUCCAAUAUUUAACUAAGUAUAGUUAGUAGUGUACUGUGUUACACAGUGGAGUGUCUAGCCUCUAAAAUCUGAAGAGUAAUAUUUAUAUAUGAAUACUAUGAUUAUAUGAAAGAAUGUUUUAUGCA